rnacentral:rRNA from 1 species
GUGCUAUACAUGCAAGUCGAGCGGACAGAUGGGAGCUUGCUCCCUGAUGUUAGCGGCGGACGGGUGAGUAACACGUGGGUAACCUGCCUGUAAGACUGGGAUAACUCCGGGAAACCGGGGCUAAUACCGGAUGGUUGUCUGAACCGCAUGGUUCAGACAUAAAAGGUGGCUUCGGCUACCACUUACAGAUGGACCCGCGGCGCAUUAGCUAGUUGGUGAGGUAACGGCUCACCAAGGCGACGAUGCGUAGCCGACCUGAGAGGGUGAUCGGCCACACUGGGACUGAGACACGGCCCAGACUCCUACGGGAGGCAGCAGUAGGGAAUCUUCCGCAAUGGACGAAAGUCUGACGGAGCAACGCCGCGUGAGUGAUGAAGGUUUUCGGAUCGUAAAGCUCUGUUGUUAGGGAAGAACAAGUGCCGUUCAAAUAGGGCGGCACCUUGACGGUACCUAACCAGAAAGCCACGGCUAACUACGUGCCAGCAGCCGCGGUAAUACGUAGGUGGCAAGCGUUGUCCGGAAUUAUUGGGCGUAAAGGGCUCGCAGGCGGUUUCUUAAGUCUGAUGUGAAAGCCCCCGGCUCAACCGGGGAGGGUCAUUGGAAACUGGGGAACUUGAGUGCAGAAGAGGAGAGUGGAAUU